rnacentral:rRNA from 1 species
ACGGUAACAGGUCUUCGGAUGCUGACGAGUGGCGAACGGGUGAGUAAUACAUCGGAACGUGCCCGAUCGUGGGGGAUAACGAAGCGAAAGCUUUGCUAAUACCGCAUAAGAUCUACGGAUGAAAGCAGGGGACCGCAAGGCCUUGCGCGAACGGAGCGGCCGAUGGCAGAUUAGGUAGUUGGUGGGAUAAAAGCUUACCAAGCCGACGAUCUGUAGCUGGUCUGAGAGGACGACCAGCCACACUGGGACUGAGACACGGCCCAGACUCCUACGGGAGGCAGCAGUGGGGAAUUUUGGACAAUGGGCGAAAGCCUGAUCCAGCCAUGCCGCGUGCAGGAUGAAGGCCUUCGGGUUGUAAACUGCUUUUGUACGGAACGAAAAAACUCUGGUUAAUACCUGGGGUCCAUGACGGUACCGUAAGAAUAAGCACCGGCUAACUACGUGCCAGCAG